GAGACCCUCAUCUUUAGUUGCAACUGGUAAGUUCGCUUACAAGGCACACUAGAGAAACCGCUGGCGAUAAGUCAGAGGAAGGCGAGGGCAACGGUAGGUCAGUAUGCCCUGAAUCCCCCGGGCUACACGCGCGCUACAAAGGCUAGGACAAUGGGUUUCGACACCGAAAGGUGAAGGUAAUCCCGAAACCUAGUCAUAGUUCGGAUUGAGGGUUGUAACUCACCCUCAUGAAGUUGGAAUCCGUAGUAAUCGCGGAUCAACAUUCCGCGGUGAAUAU
rnacentral:rRNA from 1 species